AAUUUAAAAAAACGUGAUGCCUAUAUAUAGCCAUAAUAAGGUUGGCUGUUUCUACCCAGUACCGUAAAUACUGGACUAUAAGCAAAAGUGCAAACCGA
rnacentral:ncRNA from 2 species